AAUUGGGCGCUAUUUUUCCCCUCUUUUUCUGCCCAACCCACAACUGACCCACGCACCCCUCAACUCUCUUCCCACCCUCGCCUCCCCCCUUCCCCCAAAAGAACGUACUGUAUGUUUUUAUAUAAGUAUACAAUAACUUAUAGUUUGUUACAGAGCAAUUAAUAGCUAGCAUCUCACAAAUUGAACUCUACAAAGAAUCACAAUUUGGGUUCCUCUCUGCAACCUAGGUUUCAUUCUCCUUCUCAUCAAGGUAAGCUCUAAACUUGUAGUAAAAUAUUUUGACAUUGGGCACUUUUUUAUAUUAUCAGUUCUCUCUCUGUUUUUCAAAUAUUGAGUUUUUUCUUAUAAUUACAUAUGCUUCAAAUUUAUAAUUAUAGGUACGUUUUAUGAGUAUUGAUGUUGAAUGUGCCGAGCUUAUUUCUUUAUUUCCAUUGAAUUUUGCUCCUUACAUAAUAGCUAUGUGUUUUCAUCUUUAGAGCAGAUUAUUUUUUGAAAUUGGGUUUGAUUGCAUAUUGUUAUUGGGAAAAAGCUUCUCAAUAUCUGGUCAUGAUUGUAUUGUAAACUUUCUCUAGUGAAAUUAGGGGUGGACAUAAAAUCCGAGAAAUCCAAAAAUGUGCUAGAAGGGGAAUUGCAGCAACUAGGAUAGCAGUCAAGUUCUCAAGUCAUAAUGGAGGCUUGCAAGAAUGGGCACCAAAAUCUCCUCUUCAGGUCCUUCUGAAACCAACUUCGCCAUACUUGCUCCAUUUUAGGCACAAAUAUAUGAAUCAGAUAAAUUAUUGGCUUGAUAUAAACUGCCUAAAGUCUAUUUCUUGUAAUUACCAGU
rnacentral:lncRNA from 1 species